GGGGGCUCAAAGCACAAGGGUUAUCUCCCCUUGUUCCUUGAUUAAAGCCGGCUUAAGAAAUGGGAGUUUAUAUCUGUAUUGGCUUGCAGCUUUAGCAACAACAGAGUUAUUUUUGAAGAGUUGCUCGUUGAGUACAUCUCUAAGAGACCAUGAGAAGACCAAAUCCACCAGACCUGAAGUCAUUUUAGGCUCUCAAUGUGUCAACCACCACCACCACCAGAAGCAGCCGCAGCCGCAGCCGCAGCAGCAGAGAGGCUUUAGAUUUCAAAACAAAGGAAACACAGAGCUGGGACGACGACGACUUCUUUUCCCAUUUCUUCGUCAGUCGCGCUUCUGGGUCUAAGAAGAAAAUGGAGAGGCUGACGAACUGGAACGCCUUCAGAGCAGAAGUCCUGAACGGUCAUGCGAGGACGAAAUCAUGUCAAAGUCAAAAAGGACUAAGAAAUAACUAUGACCAAUGAGAGUAUAAGAUUUCCAUCCUCCCAAACAAUGAAAUAUUUUUUUUGAACUGAUUUAUAAUUUAUGUGUAUGCUACCUGGCAUAAGGGCUUGCCUAUGGUUGGCACUUCUCCUAGGAAGAGUUUUUUCAAGAACUAAAGCACUGAAUCAAGUACACUUGAUGGCAUUUAAGUCCCAAAAUUAUUAGUAUCUUUCUUUCUUUUCAA